UACGUAGGAUCCAAGCGUUGUCCGGAUUUACUGGGCGUAAAGGGUGCGCAGGCGGACUUGUUAGUCAGAGGUGAAAUCUCACGGCUCAACCGUGGAACUGCCUUUGAUACUGCAGGUCUUGAAUUGGGGAGAGAGUUGUGGAAUUCCGAGUAUAGCAGUGAAAUGUGUAGAUAUUCGGAAGAACACCAGUGGCGAAGGCAGCAACUUGGCCCCAGAUUGACGCUCAGGCACGAAAGCAUGGGGAUCAAACAGG
rnacentral:rRNA from 1 species